CAUAGCUGCUGCCAGCUCCUACCACCAGAGAGGGACUGACUCCCUUUCCCAAGGAGUUCUGAUCUGUGUGCUUUGGGUCAGGCACCAAGGUCCAGACCAGCCAAUAGUGAACAGGAAAUCAAGAAGCCAUGCACAUCCCUGGAACGUGGCCCUCUGCCAUCUUCAAAGCCGGUGACUGCUGGUGGAGUUUUUAUCCCAACACAUCACGCUGACCUUUCCUUCUACCUCCCCUUCCACAUUUAAGGACUUUUGUGAUUACAUUGGUCCCACCUGGAUAAUCCAGGCUCAUCUACCCCUCUCAAAGUCAGUUGAUUAGCAAGCUUAAUUCCAUUUUCUACCUUAAUUCUCCUGUGCCAAGUAACCUAAAGUAUUCACAGCUUUCAGGGCCGUAGACAUUGUUGGGGAUCCACAACAGGCUUCUCCAAUGUGGCUUCUGGCUACUUUACUUUUAAUUAGCACCUCCAGGGAAGGGUGGUGAUUAAAAAAAAAAAAAAAGGCAAAAUGAACAGUAAUCCUAGCACUCUGGGUGGCUGAGGUGGGAGGAUUGCUUGAGCCCAGGAGUUUAAGACCAGCCUGGGCAACAUAGUGUAAACCCCAUCUCUAUGACAACAACAAAAAAGGCAAAAUGUCAACAUCUCAUUUAUAAUUAAUAAAAGUUUGAUGAAGGAAGAAAAAACACAUGGCAAAAAAUAGAGACCUGAGAUCAAAUCAGUGGUGAUUAAAUCAGAAAAUGUAUGGGAAAUCCUUUAGCAAAAGGCCUGGCCCAGAACAUCCUUGACUAAGUAUUAGUUGAUUAUGAAUCUGAAGUUGAUACCCCCGUUCUUUUUAUAGCAUGCCUACUAGAGUGUGGUCUUUCAUCCAUUUUUGCUCAAAUGUCACUGUUUCACAAAAUUCCCAUCAUCUUUCUCUUUUCCUCCCCACCAUCCUUAAAAUGUUGUUUAUAUCUUUCAAUAUGGAAAGGCUGCCAUGGAAAACUGUACUUAAUUCUUGUGAACCAGGAAUCUGCUUUCUGAGCUGAAAUUAUGUGCCCCUGAUUUAUAAUUAUUAUUUCAAUAAGGGGGAUUGACAGAAGGCAAGAAACUAUACAGUGAGCAAAAGUUGAAGAGAUUCUAGCUGUUUGGGAUAAUAAGUAGGAUUUGGCAGGCUGCCAAAUUACCUAGGGAAGGUCUUAUGACUCAUGGCUACAUUCUAUCCUUCACUAAAGAAUCUUAUUGUAGGUUACUCAAGUCUUAUCAUGAGUUUCCUCAAAGUGUUGACAUACUGAUUAAUACAUAACCUACUGACAUUGAAAAGGACAUUAAUUUGUUUCUGAAUCGUUCCGUUUUACUGGUAACCUUGUGCAUAAAACAUUCUAGGCUAUAUGUUGUCAUCUGUAGCCAACGGUUGUAAUCUCUGCAUUGUACCCUGCAAUGAAAAGGACAACUCCAAAAUGAGGAGUCUUCCUCCCUUCUACACUUUCUGAUAAAAACAUUCUAACUUGUAAUGGACUUUGGAAUACACCCAACUUUGUUGGUGUGUCUUCCCAGGUCAAUCAUCAAAUCUGGCUUCCAAUAAAUCUUUGUCAAGUUAUUUCUGUCUCAACAGCCUUCAUUUCAGUUGGUAGUGAAGAAAUCAACCUCAUUUCUUAAGAAAAUAGAGUUCCAUUUCUACAUGUUGUAUCAGUUACAAUUAGGUUCCACUGUGUAAAACAGAAACCCCAAUAAAGAGACUCGAAC
rnacentral:lncRNA from 10 species